rnacentral:rRNA from 1 species
CCUACGGGUGGCAGCAGUGGGGAAUAUUGGGCAAUGGGCGCAAGCCUGACCCAGCAACGCCGCGUGAAGGAAGAAGGCUUUCGGGUUGUAAACUUCUUUUCUCAGGGACGAAGCAAGUGACGGUAACUGAGGAAUAAGACACGGCUAACUACGUGCACGCAGCCGCGGUAAUACGUAGGUGGCAAGCGUUAACCGGAUUUACUGGGUGUAAAGGGCGUGUGGGCGGGAAAGCAAGUCAGAGUUGAAAACCAUGGGCUCAACCUGUGGCCUGCAUUUGAAACUGUUGUUCUUGAGAACUGGGGAGGCAGACGGAAUUCCUAGUGUAGCGGUGAAAUGCGUAGAUAUUAGGAGGAACACCAGUGGCGAAGGCGGUCUGCUGGACAGCAACUGACGCUGAGGCGCGAAAGCGUGGGGAGCAAACAGGAUUAGAUACCCUGGUAGUC